GGUAAAAUGGCUGAGUAAGCAUUAGACUGUAAAUCUAAAGACAAGGGUUGAGUCCCCUUUUUUGCCA
rnacentral:tRNA from 1 species